AACGAACGCUGGCGGCAGGCCUCAAACAUGCAAGUCUAGGGGGUAGCAAUACCACCGGCGGACGGGUGCGUAACGCGUGGGAAUGUACCUACUGGUUCGGAACAACUGCGGGAAACUGCAGCUAAUACCGAAUGUGCCCGAAAGGGGAAAGAUUUAUCGCCAGUAGAUCAGCCCGCGUAGGAUUAGCUAGUUGGUGGGGUAAUGGCUCACCAAGGCUCCGAUCCUUAGCUGUUCUGAGAGGAAGAUCAGCCACACUGGGACUGAGACACGGCCCAGACUCCUACGGGAGGCAGCAGUUGGGAAUCUUGGACAAUGGGGGAAACCCUGAUCCAGCCAUGCCGCGUGAGUGAUGAAGGCCUUCGGGUUGUAAAACUCUUUCGACGGGGACGAUAAUGACGGUACCCGUAGAAGAAGCUCCGGCUAACUUCGUGCCAGCAGCCGCGGUAAUACGAAGGGGGCUAGCGUUGUUCGGAAUUACUGGGCGUAAAGCGCGCGCAGGCGGUCUUCCAAGUCAGUGGUGAAAGCCCGGAGCUCAACUCCGGAACUGCCAUUGAAACUGUUAGACUUGAGGACGAGAGAGGUGAGUGGAAUUCCCAGUGUAGAGGUGAAAUUCGUAGAUAUUGGGAAGAACACCGGUGGCGAAGGCGGCUCACUGGCUCGUAUCUGACGCUCAGGCGCGAUAGCGUGGGGAUCAAACAGGAUUAGAUACCCUGGUAGUCCACGCCGUAAACGAUGAAUGCUAGCCGUUGGGCAGCUUGCUGUUCAGUGGCGCAGCU
rnacentral:rRNA from 1 species